UACGGGGGGGGGCAAGCGUUGUUCGGAAUUACUGGGCGUAAAGGGUUUGUAGGUGGCUUGCUAAGUCAGACGUGAAAUCCCUCAGCUUAACUGGGGAACUGCGUCUGAGACUGGCAAGCUCGAGUGCAGGAGAGGAACGCGGAAUUCCAGGUGUAGCGGUGAAAUGCGUAGAUAUCUGGAGGAACACCGGUGGCGAAGGCGGCGUUCUGGACUGCAACUGACACUGAAAAACGAAAGCCAGGGGAGCAAACGGG
rnacentral:rRNA from 1 species